GACGAACGCUGGCGGCGUGCUUAACACAUGCAAGUCGAGCGGUAAGGCCCUUUCGGGGGUACACGAGCGGCGAACGGGUGAGUAACACGUGGGUGACCUGCCCUCAGCUCUGGGAUAAGCCUGGGAAACCGGGUCUAAUACUGGAUAUGACUCCAUGACGCAUGUUGUGGGGUGGAAAGCCUUGUGCGGCUGAGGAUGGGCCCGCGGCCUAUCAGCUUGUUGGUGGGGUGANGGCCUACCAAGGCGACGACGGGUAGCCGGCCUGAGAGGGUGAUCGGCCACACUGGAACUGAGACACGGUCCAGACUCCUACGGGAGGCAGCAGUGGGGAAUUUUGGACAAUGGGCGCAAGCCUGAUCCAGCCAUGCCGCGUGCGGGAAGAAGGCCU
rnacentral:rRNA from 1 species